ensembl:lncRNA Novel transcript
AGAGAGCUCAAGAGAGAAAGAAACCAAGGGAGGGGGUCAGGGUGAAGGGGUCUCAGGAGGUGACAUGGAAGACAACAGGGAGGACAGGUGGAGACCUCAGGGUGCCGGCUGAGUCCCAGGCCCUUCCUGAUGGGUUUGGGUGGAGCAGCUCUGCUGCUCCGGUCCCUCUAAGGAGGGCCUCAGCCUAGGGCGCAGCAGAGAAGGUGGGAUGGAGACUGCCAUCACCCGGAUGCCACCCUGACUCACUGUUGGUCCCCCUACAGGUCAGCAGCGGACUAAAGCCACAACCCCAGCCAGGGAACCCUUCCAAAACACAGAGGAGCCAUAUGAGAAUAUCAGGAAUGAAGGACAAAAUACAGAUCCCAAGCUAAAUCCCAAGGAAAAACUACAAAUAUGUAUCUUUCUGCAAGCCUUUCCAGAUCGAUCUGCCUCAUUCCAGGAUGGCCAGCACUCCUGAAGGGACUUCUGCAGAACAAUCUGGACAAUCUCCUCAAAUUCUGCAUUGGUAAGACUUGAUUUUUCCUGCAGAGACAAGGGUAGGGGAGGAAAACCACUUAUCUUUCCAUAGUUUUCCCCUCUGAACAGUCAGGGAAGCCUCCUUCAGAUGAGGCAGUAAGUUUAUAAGACGGAAGGCAUGCAGUCAGCAUACCUAAGGAGGCCAUGAACUAUAUCCCAGAUCUCCUGGGAAUAAAGGAGUCAAAGGAAAGAGAAAAGUGUAUAAUGUCUCUGUCUACUUCUAUCCCCACCUCUAACCCACCUCAUCCCAUUAUUUCCUGCUCAAUUCUUUCAUCAAAACAUUUUUGACCUCUUUGAGAAAAAAAAAAGGAAGCCCUCAAAAAGGAAUACAAACCUGAAACUCUAGGGUGAAUUUCCCCAGUGUGAAAAGACUCUGUUUGUCUAGCCUGAGCCAGGGGUAAGGUAUGAGAAAAUCUCCUACCAGAGCCCACCACUAUGACUGGUACCUUUUCUUUCUUCUCUGCUUGCUUGUUGAUUUGUGCCUUUCUUUUUUUCUCCUGUUCCCUGCUUGGAACAUUCUUCAUGGUUGCUUUUUCCUCUUUCUUCUUUAAACUGGCCUUUGGCAGGCUUAUCCUGGCCUCUGUCUCUGGGGAACUGAUCCCCGGGGUCUCCUCCUUAGGGGAGUUAGGGCUACAAGGUAACAGGCUGUAAGAUUUUUGUGCAGGUGGGGCAAAGAUUCUCUUUGGUCCCUUUCCACAUUCUGAAAGAAAUGUGAUCAAGUGGAAUUUAUGAAACAUACAGUCUAACAGAGAUUGCCAAACAUUACCCUUUGACUAGCCAUAACAGAAUGAUAUGGAGAGAGCUUUUAACAAAUUCAGAUUCCUGGGUCUCUCACUGCUUACUCCACUCCUCAGCCCUGAGAUGCUGAUGAGGUAGUUAGACAUGAGAGGCCUAGCAAUCUGUAAUUUUACAAGGCUAGUUGAUUCUGAUAUACUGCCAGGUUUGGGAACCACUAAGUCAAAGGUGAUAAAUAUAAGCAUGCAGGAAGCUGAGUUAUCCAAAUGUGAAACUGUAUAAUUUGCUCAUUUUUACUUUAGAUAAAAUGUUAUGGAAAAUUAGAGCAAAUUUUUAAAAACUAGUCAAAAUCUAUAAAUUAUUCACAGCUCUUAUGCCACCUCCUCAAUAAAAAUUAUAAUGAUCCUCCCAGGUAUAUCUUUCUUUGAGCUUCCUUAAUACUCUGCACAUAACUGGUGGCAUUUACCACAUUCAACUUUAUGAUAGGUAUUUAAAUGCCUUUUCUCUCCCUGAGUUUAUAUGUUCCUCGAGCAGGACUGUUUUUAAGUCAUAUUUAUUUCACUCAAAGCAUCUAGCAGAGCAGUAAUUUGACCUGAGUGGGCACAGAAUAUAGGGACCCGUACCAUCCUUUGGUGGAAAGGAUGUCCAAAAGGAGAAAAAUGAGAGAAAUGUAUGAAGCGAACCUCCCUCACUCUUGACUCACCUUCUUUAUUCUGCAACGUUGUCAUCAUUCAGCUUAGAAACUACGCUUUGUGUGCCUCUGUUAGAAAAAAGAAAUUAACUGCUAUGACUCUGAUUAAACAA